CCUAAGCCGAGGCCGAUAGCGUAGGCGAUGGACAACAGGUUGAUAUUCCUGUACCAGUUGUUUUUGUUUGAGCAAUGGAGGGACGCAGGAGGCUAAGGAAUGCAUGCGACUGGAAGUGCAUGUCCAAGCAGUAAGUCUUGAGUAGAGUCAAAUGCUUUACUCUAUACGGACAAGCUGUGAUGGGGAGGGAAAUAAUAGUACCGAAGUUCCUGAUGUCACACUGUCAAGAAAAGCUUCUAGUGAGAAAACAACUGCCCGUACCGUAAACCGACACAGGUAGUCGAGGAGAGUAUCCUAAGGUGAGCGAGCGAACUCUCGUUAAGGAACUCGGCAAAAUGACCCCGUAACUUCGGGAGAAGGGGUGCUGACUUCGGUCAGCCGCAGUGAAUAGGCCCAAGCGACUGUUUAUCAAAAACACAGGUCUCUGCAAAAUCGAAAGAUGAAGUAUAGGGGCUGACGCCUGCCCGGUGCUGGAAGGUUAAGAGGAUGGGUUAGCUUCGGCGAAGCUCAGAAUUGAAGCCCCAGUAAACGGCGGCCGUAACUAUAACGGUCCUAAGGUAGCGAAAUUCCUUGUCGGGUAAGUUCCGACCCGCACGAAAGGCGUAACGAUUUGGCACUGUCUCAACGAGAGACUCGGUGAAAUUUUAGUACCUGUGAAGAUGCAGGUUACCCGCGACAGGACGGAAAGACCCCAUGGAGCUUUACUGUAGCUUGAUAUUGAGUGUUUGUACCACAUGUACAGGAUAGGUAGGAGCCGAUGAACCCGGAACGCUAGUUCGGUGGAGGCGCUGGUGGGAUACUACCCUUGUGUUAUGAACCCUCUAACCCGCACCACUUAUCGUGGUGGGAGACAGUGUCAGGUGGGCAGUUUGACUGGGGCGGUCGCCUCCUAAAGAGUAACGGAGGCGCCCAAAGGUUCCCUCAGAAUGGUUGGAAAUCAUUCGCAGAGUGUAAAGGCAGAAGGGAGCUUGACUGCGAGACUUACAAGUCGAGCAGGGACGAAAGUCGGGCUUAGUGAUCCGGUGGUUCCGCAUGGAAGGGCCAUCGCUCAACGGAUAAAAGCUACCCUGGGAUAACAGGCUUAUCUCCCCCAAGAGUCCACAUCGACGGGAGGUUUGGCACCUCGAUGUCGCUCGUCGCAUCCUGGGGCUGUAGUCGGUCCCAAGGGUUGGGCUGUUCGCCCAUUAAAGCGGCACGCGAGCUGGGUUCAGAACGUCGUGAGACAGUUCGGUCCCUAUCCGUCGCGGGCGUUGGAAAUUUGAGAGGAGCUGUCCUUAGUACGAGAGGACCGGGAUGGACUUACCGCUGGUGUACCAGUUGUUCUGCCAAGGGCAUUGCUGGGUAGCUAUGUAGGGAAGGGAUAAACGCUGAAAGCAUCUAAGUGUGAAGCCCACCUCAAGAUGAGAUUUCCCAUUUCUUUAAGAAAGUAAGACCCCUGAGAGAUGAUCAGGUAGAUAGGUUGGAAGUGGAAGUGCAGUGAUGUACGGAGCGGACCAAUACUAAUCGGUCGAGGACUUAACCAA
rnacentral:rRNA from 1 species